GACGAACGCUGGCGGCGUGCUUAACACAUGCAAGUCGAGCGGUAAGGCCCUUUCGGGGGUACGACGAGCGGCGAACGGGUGAGUAACACGUGGGUGACCUGCCCUCAGCUCUGGGAUAAGCCUGGGAAACCGGGUCUAAUACCGGAUAUGACUCCAUGACGCAUGUUGUGGGGUGGAAAGCCUUGUGCGGCUGAGGAUGGGCCCGCGGCCUAUCAGCUUGUUGGUGGGGUGAUGGCCUACCAAGGCGACGACGGGUAGCCGGCCUGAGAGGGCGACCGGCCACACUGGGGACUGAGACACGGCCCAGACUCCUACGGGAGGCAGCAGGUGGGGAAUCUUGCGCAAUGGGGCGAAAGCCUGACGCAGCGACGCCGCGUGAGGGAUGACGGCCUGUGUAACUCUUC
rnacentral:rRNA from 1 species